UUAAGGUUUAGGUUUAGUUUGGAAUUACAUAACAAUUGCAUGCAGUAAGAAAAUACGAUGAAAAAAUAUUAUAUUUAUUUUCGUACGUAAUAUUACGUUCAGUAUCGCAGUAAGUCGGUUACGAUAUAUUUUCUAUAGUCCCACCGAAAAAUACAGAAGUGUAGUCUUAUAUGCUUUAAUCCCAAUUUCAUUUUAUCUAAUAGAGUUAAAUAAGCCUCAGUACCAAACUAAGCCUUAGAUACUAGACAUAAUGGAGUUGAAAGAAAAAUUAUAUAUAAAU
rnacentral:lncRNA from 1 species